rnacentral:rRNA from 2 species
AAAACUUUCAACAACGGAUCUCUUGGUUCUCGCAUCGAUGAAGAACGCAGCAAAGCGCGAUAGGUAAUGCGAAUUGCAGACGUGAGUCAUUGAAUCUUUGAACGCACAUUGCGCUACCAGGCUAUAUGCUUGGUAGCAUGCUUGUUGGAGCGCCGAUCUUUCUCCU